rnacentral:rRNA from 1 species
AUGGCGACGGCAAUGGCUCUGCUCCGUCUCGCGGCCCUCGCCGGCGCCGUCGCGCUCCUCCUGCCGGGCGCCUCCGUGGCCCGCAUCCUCCUCUCGCUCGACGACUUCGGCGCCGUCGGCGACGGCAUUGCCGACGACACGCAGGCCCUGGUGGACGCAUGGACGGCGGCCUGCGCCAGCACCAACGGCCACGUGGUCAUCCACGUGCCCGCCGGCAGGUCGUACCAGAUCUGGCCGGUGACGCUCGCCGGGCCCUGCAGGGACGAGAUCAUGCUCUUCGUCUCCGGGAACAUCAUCGCGCCGGACAGCCCGGAGGACUGGGAGCGGCGCGACGGCGGCAGGUGGCUCCACUUCUUCCAGGUGCAGGACCUGACGGUGAGCGGCGGCGGCGUCAUCGACGGCCGCGGGCAGGAGUGGUGGGCGCAGGCCUGCAAGGGGAGGCACCGCAACGACAAGCAUUGCACAGCGCAGGAUGCUCCCAAGGCGCUGCACUUCGAGGAGUGCCACGGGGUGCGGGUGCAGGGCGUGACGCUGCAGAACGGGCAGCAGCAGCACCUGACCUUCACCCGCUGCUCCAACGCCAGGGCCAGCUUCCUCAGGGUGGCCUCGCCGGAGAGCAGCCCGGGCACCGACGGCAUCCACCUUGUCAACUCCAUCAGCGUCCACGUCAACGACAUCCACAUCGCCACAGGAGGCGCUUGCGUGUCCAUGGUGGGCAACUGCACCGACGUUCGCCUCAGAUACAUCUCCUGUGGGCCUGGCAAUGGCAUCAGUAUUGGGAGCAUAGGCGAGACCCCGGUGGCUGACAGGUUGGAGAAGAUCGAGGUCGACACCAUGUUCAUCGCCAACACCUCCAACGGCCUCCUCAUCAAGACCUGGCAGGAUAGUUGCGGCUACGCGCGCAAGGUGAAGUUCGCCAACGUGGUGAUGAAGAACGUCUCCGACCCCAUCAUCAUCGACCAGUACCGCUCCGAGCACCCCAUACCCUGCGGAUCGACCGCGGCGACGAGGACGGUAGCGGUGGAGAAGAUCGACUACGUGAACAUCGCCGGCACGUCGGCGUCGAAGCGGGCGGUGACCUUCUCGUGCAGCGACGUCGUGCCGUGCAGGCAGGUGUCGCUCAAGGACGUGAACCUGAAGCGGCUCAGCGGCCGCGGCGCCUCCGCCUACUGCCGCAGCGCGUCCGGGAAGGCCGCCGGCGUCGUCGUCCCGGAGUCCUGCCUCGCCGGAGCCAGGGCCGCUGGCGACGAGGAGGAGUGA